GGGAUUUCCAAGAAUAGCCAUUUCAUAGUUCAGCUGUGAAAUAAAAUCCUCAUAUCACCAUCCAGGGAUGUUGAACCAUAACUAAGGGGAGCUAGAAAAUGUACAAUUUGCUCUAAUGGCUUCCACUAUGAUCUUGUGAGGUUUUUAUUAUUAUUACUAUUUUUAGUAAUCAUCUCGGCAAUAUAAUCAGAGCAAAAAAGAUUCUAAAGGCACAAAUCAAAGAGGAAUCUUAGUUUCCAGUAGGAAUAGCUUCUCAGUCAGUCGCCUUUCUUCAAUCUUCUGGUUUCAUGAAAGAGGUGAAGCAUGGCAGCUGAGUCCCAGUGUGAAGGUUCAGUGCUAGCAGAAAGAAGAGCAAGGAGAAGUUGGUGAAGCUGGGGCAAAGUGAGGAUAUGUGUGCGUGCAGUUUAUGUCCAUGCUGCAGAUAUAAAGGAUGAAGUUGUAGGGCAGGAAGUCUUAUGUAACUUGGAGCAGCUACUCAAUGGAAAUCACAAACAGAAUGAGUUUCAUCCACAUGUCAAGACACUACUACCAACAGAGCUAUUUCAGGACACCUACCUAAAUAACUAGCUGUCUCUUCCACUUAAAGCAAGAUGAGAGCAAAACUGAAUGGGGGGCAGUUGUUUGGAGCAUCUUCUGAGGACAGCACUGUCUAAUGGAAAUCACCUUACCUUUUUGUUUCUGCUGCACCUCAAUAACACUGGGGCAGAUGUUGAAAGCCCCUGCCACCCUCUUCCAUUCCUCUCUGCCCAUCUUCAGCAAAUAUUUACAAAGCAGUUGGUGUGUGCUCAGCAGUGUGAGAGAGAUACAGAGGUGACUGAUGUGUACCUGCCCUCAAGGAACAUAUAGCCCAGAAGAGGAUAAAACAUAAGAGGAUAUAACUGCAAUGUGAGAAGCUCUAUCUAUACCAGAAGAACAAACAAGGGUCCAACAUAUACAGGAAAGGCUGAUUAAUUCAGACUUAUGGGAUCUGGGUGGGUUUUUAUAGCAAAAGUAUUAUUUAAUUAAGCCAGAAGUCUGAGUAGACAUUUUUAUAGUGGUAAAAUAUACGCAAUAUAAAAUUU
ensembl:lncRNA LINC01798 long intergenic non-protein coding RNA 1798